GAUAACCAAGAUCGGAUAAAGCAUGAGGAUGUGCUGAUGCCUAGAGUGUGUAGGAAGGGGAAUCUUGCACUUGGGACCAUUGGUGAAAGGCUGACUUUGUUUGGAGGAAUGGCCUGGUGGAGUGCCAGCCCCUGGGUGCCUGCAGGACCAGGCCGGUAAGACGGAGGGACCAAACCUAGGGCAAAUGUGUGGAGGUUUCAGGAAGACACAUGUCAUCUCAUCAAAAAGAAGGACUUCAAGGUUUGUCUGAGCUGCACUGAGCCCCAUGGAGAGUGAGUCUUCUGCUUCUGGAAGUUUUCAAACAGGACCAGCCCAACAUUAGAAUUCUUUCUCAUGAACCGCACUGCUGGGAUACAAUUUAAGAGUACUCUCAUUUACCUGGUCUGCCUCUGUGAAACCUGCGUAAUGUAACUGAGAUCACCCGGAAUUUGUAAGUAGAUGCAAUUAUUCAUUUAACAACUAUUUAUUGAGCACUGGCUCUGUGUACUGAAGUACUUGCUAGAGGUUGAGGUAGAAUAAUAAACAAGAUUCAUUUCCUGUCUUUAGGAACCUUAAAGGUAUAGUGCCCACAGGACCUCUGCUCUAAACACUAAUAUUUCAGCUUGGAGGCUCCAUUCUCAGACUUGACUGAGCAUUUGGUUCACUGCCUUGUAUAAUUUGUGUGCUUAUUGGUUCUGCACAUGGACUAACAUUUCCUUGAAUUCAGAGAUUGUUUCUCAUUGUUUAACUUCAGCACAAUCUCAAAGUACAGUG